rnacentral:rRNA from 1 species
GACGAACGCUGGCGGCGUGCCUAAUACAUGCAAGUUGAGCGCUGAAGGUUGGUACUUGUACCAACUGGAUGAGCAGCGAACGGGUGAGUAACGCGUGGGGAAUCUGCCUUUGAGCGGGGGACAACAUUUGGAAACGAAUGCUAAUACCGCAUAAAAACUUUAAACACAAGUUUUAAGUUUGAAAGAUGCAAUUGCAUCACUCAAAGAUGAUCCCGCGUUGUAUUAGCUAGUUGGUGAGGUAAAGGCUCACCAAGGCGAUGAUACAUAGCCGACCUGAGAGGGUGAUCGGCCACAUUGGGACUGAGACACGGCCCAAACUCCUACGGGAGGCAGCAGUAGGGAAUCUUCGGCAAUGGACGAAAGUCUGACCGAGCAACGCCGCGUGAGUGAAGAAGGUUUUCGGAUCGUAAAACUCUGUUGGUAGAGAAGAACGUUGGUGAGAGUGGAAAGCUCAUCAAGUGACGGGAACUACCCAGAAAGGGACGGCGAACUACGU